GACGAACGCUGGCGGCGCGCUUAAUACAUGCAAGUCGAGCGAGAACCAGGGCUUCGGCACUGGGGACAGCGGCGAACGGGUGAGUAACACGUGGGUAAUCAACCCCCGACACCGGGAUAGCCCAGGGAAACUUGGAUUAAUACCGGAUGCCCCAUCUGGCUUUCGAGCCGGCUGGAAAAGGGUAGCUUCGGCCUCCGGUCGGGGACGAGCCCGCGGCGGAUUAGCUUGUUGGUGAGGUAAAGGCUCACCAAGGCGACGAUCGGUAGCUGGUCUGGGAGGACGAUCAGCCACACUGGGACUGAGACACGGCCCAGACUCCUACGGGAGGCAGCAGUAGGGAAUCUUGCGCAAUGGGCGAAAGCCUGACGCAGCGACGCCGCGUGAGGGAAGAAGGCCUUCGGGUUGUAAACCUCUUUCAGGAGGGACGAAGCCACUCGGGUUAAUAGCCUAGAGGGUGACGGUACCUCCAGAAGAAGCCCCGGCUAACUACGUGCCAGCCGCCGCGGUAA
rnacentral:rRNA from 1 species